rnacentral:ncRNA from 2 species
UACAGUCGGCAGCGUCGCCCUCGGGUGACACCACGACGUGCCCCAGGGGAAGCCGGUCCGAAUCCGGCGCUGACCCGCAACCGUGAGCCACCUUCGAGGUGGGAGCCGGAAUGCCUGGGACGCGGAGCGGCUCCAU